rnacentral:rRNA from 1 species
AAGUUCCCGCAAUGAGCGCAACCCCUUCCUCUAGUCGCCAUCAAGUUUUACGUUUUUACGUAGAUGUUGGGUACUUUAUAGGGACCGACGGUGAUAAGCCGGAGGAAGGUGGGGAUGACGUCAAGUCCUCAUGGCCUUUAUGGGCUGGGUUACACACGUGCUACAAUGGUGGUUACAAUGGGCCGCGAACUCGCGAGGCGGAGCUAAUCCCCAAAAGCCAUGUCAGUUCGGAUUCCACUCUGCAACUCGAGUGCCUGAAGUCGGAAUCGCUAGUAAUCGCGGAUCAGCAUGCCGGGGUGAAUACGUUCUCGGGCCUUGUACACACCGCCCGUCACACCAUGGGAGUUGGUUUUGCCUGAAGACGGUGUGCUAACCGCAAGGAGGCAGCCGGCCACGGUAGGGUCAGCGAUUAAGGGAAGUCGUAACAAGGUAACCAAUUGAA